rnacentral:lncRNA from 1 species
GGAGGAGGGGCUCAAGUCAUGACUGAUGGAUAAAUGAAUAUACAACAGUCCCUGAAUUUAGUUUCAGGAAGGAUGCCAUGAAAAGAAUAAUUCCUAUUGAAUAAGUGGCCCUUGCAAAGGACAUGAUUAAUUUCCAGGGCAGUCUAACUUUCAAGAGCACCAUGCUGUGCUCCACCCUGGGGAAUACAGGCUCUCAGGGCGGCACUACUGCCUCUAGGCAUUGCUAAAUGGCAACAUCCGGAGGAAGUGAGUGCGUCUGGGGACUUUGUCAGGCUUUGUUCUUUCCAGCUCUUUAACAUCAUUGUGCAUUGAUGCAGCAAGCAUGCACCAGCUAGAGAAAGCGGGGAGAAGGCCGGCCAACCCAGGCACAGAUGCACGAGUUAGAAUCCACAACAAGACCUCAGCCUCCUUCCCAGUGUGCGUGGGAAAGCAGAAAUGCCAGGGAAAAGCUCCUGCUCAGGGCCAGGCAAGAAGAAGCAGGCAAUGCCUGGCUUUGUCAUCCGAUGUAACAAAAAGCCUUAGUGUGUACCUGGUAACACACUAAGGUACAACAGUGUGGGAACGUGACAACAGUGUGGGUUUGUGUGGGAGCUCCCUAAAAAGCCAGGUCAUUAGGACUCCAGUUACCCCCUAAACGGCCACCGCGUCUCCAGGUCUAAGCAGUGACUCCAGAGGCCGAGGGGGGUCACUUGUGUUCAUUGCUUGCCAACACCAGCAAUCUGUUCGUCGUUGUCCAUCCAGAUAGUAAACGUAAUCAUCCAUCAACCCUUGCUGCUCAUGUGCAAACCCUAAGCCAGCACCCAUCCGAGGAGCAGGGCUGGGCUCGGGCCACAGAAUGAGCCCAGCCUAAGAUGGGGGGACGUUCUGUGGUCAAGCCACCAGAUCUGUAGUCAUAUUUCCUUGUCAGAGUUAAAAAUAAAGCCCUGUUCCCUCA